rnacentral:rRNA from 1 species
UUNGGAAACUGUUUAACUUGAGUGCAGAAGGGGAGAGUGGAAUUCCAUGUGUAGCGGUGAAAUGCGUAGAUAUAUGGAGGAACACCGGUGGCGAAAGCGGCUCUCUGGUCUGUAACUGACGCUGAGGCUCGAAAGCGUGGGGAGCGAACAGGAUUAGAUACCCUGGUAGUNCACGCCGUAAACGAUGAGUGCUAGGCGUUAGGCCCUUUCCGGGGCUUAGUGCCGCAGCUAACGCAUUAAGCACUCCGCCUGGGGAGUACGACCGCAAGGUUGAAACUCAAAGGAAUUGACGGGGGCCCGCACAAGCGGUGGAGCAUGUGGUUUAAUUCGAAGCAACGCGAAGAACCUUACCAGGUCUUGACAUCCCGAUGCCCGCUCUAGAGAUAGAGUUUUACUUCGGUACAUCGGUGACAGGUGGUGCAUGGUUGUCGUCAGCUCGUGUCGUGAGAUGUUGGGUUAAGUCCCGCAACGAGCGCAACCCUUAUUGUUAGUUGCCAUCAUUCAGUUGGGCACUCUAGCGAGACCGCCGGUAAUAAACCGGAGGAAGGUGGGGAUGACGUCAAAUCAUCAUGCCCCUUAUGACCUGGGCUACACACGUGCUACAAUGGCUGGUACAACGAGUCGCAAGUCGGUGACGGCAAGCUAAUCUCUUAAAGCCAGUCUCAGUUCGGAUUGUAGGCUGCAACUCGCCUACAUGAAGUCGGAAUCGCUAGUAAUCGCGGAUCAGCACGCCGCGGUGAAUACGUUCCCGGGCCUUGUACACACCGCCCGUCACACCACGAGAGUUUGUAACACCCGAAGUCGGUGAGGUANCCUUUUAGGAGCCA